rnacentral:lncRNA from 1 species
AUGGAGGAAAGAAAUGUGCCAAUGCCUUAUGUCUGGCAAACUGACAAACACUCAGUGAGGGAAUAUUUUAUGGAGAGAAGGAUUUCCCAGUCAUUCCCUCUUCCGUUCCUAAUCAUUGGGCAUCAUCGCCCACAAAAGCUUCCCAUAUGUGUCAGCAGGGGGUGCUGUGCCCCCAGAUACCGGACUGCAGCCAAGCCGCCACUGAAAAGGAUAAUGGAAGACUUUAUUUCAACUGGACCUUCUCUCCCGCACUCCCGCCCUUUCCCCUCAAUCUCCCCCCCUCCCUUCCCCAAAGCAGUGGCUGCGGGUAUUAGCGCAGCUGCUUCCCAGGCUCAGGUCGAGCCUUUCAGUAUUUCUCAUCAAAACUGUCGUCUAGGAAUCAGGAGGAAGAUGUUGGCUUAGGAGCAGUGAAAGAUGAAACUACUUGGACAGUCCUUCCAAACCAAUCUUUAAAAAGCACCUCAAGAUGACCAGAAUCAAAAAACCAACAGCAAGAUGGAGUGAGGCUACUUUCCGACUGAACACAACUUGAAAGGUAGGCAGAAACAGCUGAUUUUCACAGGAUAAGGAGGAACCGGAAGCAAAAUUACAUAUAGAGGAGUGCUGGCCAACGCUUGCCCACCUAUUACACCAGAUUCUGAGGCUGGGCAUAGGCAAACUCUGGGAUCCCAGGGCCCUGCCUAUACUAACAACAGAGCACCCCACACCCAAGACCCACCCCUUGAAUUCCCAGAUCCCAUUAACCACCUGUAGCAAAGCCUAGAAGUCCAUAGUGCUUGGCCCUUUCAAGUCUGUAGCUAUGGUAAAUCCCUUAGGCCCAGGACAGCUAGGACUGUUGAGUCCUGUAAGCCAUCAGUGGAGGAGAGAGAAUUAGCAGCUUUCAGAAUUCCCAAUCCAUUAGCAAAAACAGGCUGGGAAAAUGAGCAAAUAGCAAAAGAAACACCUAGCCCUAGAAUAUUUCUACAGUGACAAAGAGCAAGGCAUAACCAGUAGGGGAUGAUGAGAUCCAAGCAACCACAUGUAAAACUCCAGAGAAAAAUGGGAAUUGGUCUCAGGAACUGGAAAAACUAGAAAAGGAAUUCAAUCCAAAAAGAUAGUUUGAAGAAAAAUGGGGAAAAAUGAAAAUAAUGCAAAAAUGUUAUUUACAUGAUAGAAUGUAGAAUGGAUUUAAUCUAAGAAGAUGCAAUAAAUAGAGAUAAAUGUAAAAUCUAUUGGAGGGG